AUUGCUAGGUUUGGAUCAAACCUUUACCCAAGUUUCAACCCCUUUGAAACUGGUUACAGAAAAUUCAGAAAGAAAAAAAUUUUACAACAUAAUAAAAAGCUCCUAGAUGAGUUGAUGGUUGUCGUCGAUGUUUUCUUGGAGAAAUUAGAAUGCUUGCUUUCAAUGCUCACUCUUUUCUCCUUGAAUGCCCUUAUAGAAAUAAACAGAAAGUGA
rnacentral:lncRNA from 1 species